GCCGUAGCUUAGUGGUAGAGCAUCUGCUUUGAAUGCAGAAGGCCCCAGGUUCCAUACCUGGCAUCUCCA